ensembl:lncRNA
CUGUGGCCUUGCUUGAAUUAAUUUUAAUAUAAUGAGAGGUAUAAAUCAAAAUUCAUUUCAUUAUUUUUUGCAAGAUGGCUAUCCAGGUGUUUCAACAUUCUCUAUUGAAAAUAUGUCUUACUUUGUCUUUCUUGAAACCCUUGCCUUCCUUUAUGUACUCUCUACUUACAUGAUUUUGCCUUUUCCCAUGAGUUUAAAUGAAGUCUAAAUACUGAUGACAUCUAAAUAUAUAUGUGCAUUUGAGUACUUUCCCCUGGAUUUCCUGAUAAAUCAAUUCAACUGUCUAUUUGUCAUUGUCCAUCAAACAUUUCAAAGACAUCUUAAAUUUAACACAGCCAAAAAGAGUCUUAAUUUCCCCAAUUCUAGAACUAUUUCAUUCAUAUGAUCUUUCCUCAUUUCCACAAGCAUUAUCAAUAUGCUCUAAGAAAGCUAGGAACUAUGCUGAAUUCAGUUCUUUACUUCAGCUAAUAACAGCAAAUCUUCAAAUUCUUUCUCCCAAAUCAUCUGAAAUCCAACUACAUUUUAAGUUCAGCUAUCUCUUCAAUACCCAUUCACAACUGCCAUUCACCUGGACUCCUGCUGCAGCCCACCUACUAGGUCUUCUUCACUUAAACCCAUCUCCAAUCCAUUCUUUUCAAAGCAGCAAAAGCGGUAAUUUAAAACAUUAUAUAACUCCCCUGCUUAAAAUUCUUCCAUAACUUUUACUCAAUGAACUAAAUAAACAUGUAUUAAGCAUUUAUUCUAUGUCAAGCAUUGUUCAAGGAACUGAGGAUAUAAUGGUAAUUACAAAAAUACAUGGUCUCUAACUUCAUUAAAUGUACAUGCAUCCAAUAUUCAAACACACACACACACACCCUAUAAGAUGUUAACUCCGACAAAUAUAUAGAAGGAUAAUAAACAAUGUAAUGAAUGCUUUCAAAUAGGAAUUUUAUAUGCAAGCAAGACUCUUUGGGAUACUGAUUAUUUAGCACAAAUUAUCUAAAAAAAAACAGAGACUUAGGCAGAAAACUAUUCAUGUAAAUAUGCAGAUUUACAAUAUGCUACAGUAUGGCAAGGAUACAAAGAUGGAAGGAUAAAUGACAAGGACAGAAAGCAAAGAGAACAAGAUGAACUUUGAGGGAAAAAAAAGAAGGAACCAAACCCACAGGCCUUGCUAAGUAGUAUUUUUCUCUUCCUUAAAAUAACACAGAACAAUCUGAGAAAGAGCACUGUGGCUACAGUGUAGAGAGUAUAUUGAGAAGAAAACAGAACUCUAGAGUUUGGGCAAUGAUCUAGAAAAAGUGGAAUGGUAGGUCUUUCUUGCUUCAAAACCCAAACCCAUUCAGCCUGGAAUGAAUGCUUUCACUCCUACUUGUCAGGUCUCAGAUUAAAUAUUUCCUCUUAAAAGGAAACCUUCCCUGACCACCAAGAAAAUAAAAAUUUUCUCACCCAGAUCCAUUAUUUUGUAUCACCUUGUUUGCUUCCUUCAAACAUUAAGCACUUUAACAUUUCAUGAUUAGUACUUCUUUAUUUAUUUCUAUCUAUAACCCUAGAAUGUUUGCACCAGGAGAGGGGGACUAUGCCUAUCUUUUUUCUUCCAGCUUGUAAAUUGCCAGUGCAUUCACCAGCAGCAGCUUUAUGGCUGUACUAAAAACAAUAUUAAUCAAAUGAAGUGAUAUCACUGUCUUCAUAUGAUAUUAGCUUUCCUCUGCUCAUAAUAUAUGCCACUUAGCUUAAACAUGCUAGGUUAAACCUUUCGACAACUUCUCCACACCUACGUGUUAUGUCACGUGCUGGAUAAGGUGUUAGAGAUAGAAUAAUAACUUCCAAGACCAUAAGAUAUCUAUCAAUGGUUUAGAACAAUGGUUCUGGUUCCCGUUGUGGCACAGCGGAAAGGAAUCCGACUAGGAAUCAUGUGGUUGCAGGUUCAUCCCUGGCCUCACUCAGUGGAAUAAGGAUCUGGCAUUGCCAUGAGCUGUGGCGUAGCUGAGAUCUAUUUCUACCAUCUGACUUUAAUUAUUUUGUAUUUUAUCUUAAAACUCACCUCCUUAUGUGAGAAAUGGAAAAUGAAACAUAUUAUAGAUUUGGCAUAAUUAAAUCCUUCCAUCAAUGAUGAGUAAUGGCUGUAUUCUCAGGCUGCUGGACUAGGGAUAUAGCAGUGAUUUAAAAUAGCCCUUAAAAGAAAUCUCUUGAUUUUUAGGUAUUAGCUUAAAUCUCAAGCUUAACAAAUCACAUGGUUCCUCUUUCUAAGCACAGGAUGGGAUCAGUUUUACAUAAGACUUGGUAUCAGAUAUACUGAUAAUCAGAUUGCAUGACUUUAAACAAAUUCGGAUGUUAUAGACAUAAAAGAAUGUCAUAGAGCAUAUUAUGUUUCAACUCAAAAAUCUAAUGAACAUAUAGAUAUUGAGCACACACUAGUUGAAAGGCCAGAUGGUAUAGGGAGCAGGUAUAUGGAUCAGGCACAUCCCAAUCCUGAAGUUGCUUAUGAUCUAAUGAUGAAAAUUUAACAUAAACACA